GACGAACCGUGCAAACGUUGUUCGGAUUCACUGGGCUUAAAGGGCGCGUAGGCGGGCCAUCAAGUCAGGGGUGAAAUCUUUCGGCUCAACCGGAAAAGUGCCUUUGAUACUGGUGGUCUCGAGGGAGGUAGGGGCAUGCGGAACUUCCGGUGGAGCGGUGAAAUGCGUAGAUAUCGGGAGGAACACCUGUGGCGAAGGCGGCCCCCUGGUCGGAUACUGACGCUGAGACGCGAAAGCGUGGGGAGCAAACAGG
rnacentral:rRNA from 1 species